rnacentral:lncRNA from 9 species
AAAAGAGGGGUGGUGCGAGGGGCGGAGCGGGGCUUCUGCGGAGGACAACGGACGGUCUCCUGCAGCAGGUCUGACUUCUACCAAAAUGAGCGGCCUGGAUGAGGGCGACAAUCUCCCUGUCGCUCAAACCUGCGGCCCCGCUACUCCCGACCAUGCCCCGGGACAUCCGAACCCAAAGCAGUGUCAGGGCGAGGAAAGCGAGGCGACCCUGGUGAUGGCGGACUCAGUUCAUCUUUCAGAGCAACCCCUACUUCCGAAAUGAGGGGCUCGUCAAAGAAUAUGAGCGCAGAUCCUCUGGCCGGGUGGUCUCUCUUUCCACUCCAAUCCGUUGGCACCGGGGCCAAGACCCCCAGUCCCAUAUCCACAGGAACCGGAAGGCAACACUAUCCCCAGUUUCUUCAACUGGUUCUCAGACCACAGCCUCCUGGAAUUCGACAGGAUUGCAGAGAUUAUCAAAGCAGAACUCUGGCCCAACCCCCUCCAGUAUUACCUGAUGGGUGAUGGCCCCCGAAGGGGAUUUCGAGACCCAGUCAGGCAGCCAGUGGAGAGCCCCAGGACCUUCAGGUUCCAGUCCGGCUAACUCCUGCCCUUGGGAGAAGCUCCUGCACAAGUUUCCUUACCACCUCCUCUUGGACCUGUGCUUAGCCAACAGCAUGCAGUCUUCCAUUUACUUUCUCUUCACACUGGAUUAUUUUGCCCUCUGGUCCUUCUAAAUACUCAACAGUCAGUGGCAAGAUAGUUGCUUAUAUGCCUAUGCUCUUCUUCCUCUGGGCCUUCCUGCUGUUCAGCAUCGUGUUACAUGUUCCAAGUGCACGGCCUUCUACUGCUUCUAUGCCAAGCACACGACACUGUAGAUAUGCACUGCCUUCUCUUGCAUGUCCUGGGCCCUGUCUAUGACUGUGUCCUUCUCCCAGUUGUUAAAGUGGUUAUCUACCGCAAAGAAGCUUGAUAUACCUUUGCAAAUACUUAACUGGGCUUCAUACUUUAUGCUGGCUAUCCUCCUGAUACCCACGUACUCUGUGGCAAGAUUGUUGAGUUUCACUGCUGCAAGAUGAAGCUGAUAUAGUUGAUGCCAGCCAUCAACUCAAAACUGAACAUUCUAGGCUACCAGUAACCGGUUUUCAACUGUCCUCCUGGGCCCAUGCCAUCCACCCUGCCAGUUAUGUUGCAGAAUAAGCAUUUGGCUGGGGGAUGGCUCCUAGGCAUGAGUGAGGUAACAGAUGAAACGUGUUCUGUGUUAUCAUGUCGGUCUUCUGAAUGCCUUUGGUCACUCUGCGUUGUGACCAGGUGCUGGUGAGUAUGAAGGUCUGUGAUACGGCUCACCCUAAUCUGCUCUCAGACUUCUGGAUGAGCUUUGUACAGGCACUAGUGCCUGCCUCUUCAGAAACUAUCUGUAGAGUUAAGCUGCUGGGCAGUUCACAGGAACCAGUCCCUUCCCUACCCAUCGAAUGGCUACCCCUAAACCCAGUUGGCUCUCAGGCAGGUUGGGCAGUCAUAAUGCCACAGUGCCCAAAGCCAAGCUUGGGUCAUCCGGUGUCCUUCUGACAGCCCUUUGAGCCUUAGCCAACAAGUCACCCUUAAUCCAGGCAACUUAAUUAGGCGUCCCCCUUCCAACCCUCCUGCAUCCAUUCUGAAUAUGACAAAGUUACCAGGGUAGGGGCACCAAGGAGGAGGUAUUUCAGGUCUGUGGGGUCUGUUACAUCUGUCUUUGUCGCCCUCCCUCCUUCCCUCCUUUCCUCUCCCUCCUUUCCGAAGCAGUUACAGCUCAGAAACAGAAAACUGGCAAAGCAGGCUUUUUGUUUAAUUUGCUCGCCCUUUGUUGUGUCCAGAAGGAGAAGGGUACUGUCCACAGGACUCCAGGUCUCUUACGCCCUCUUCUGCCCUUUACCUUCACCCUGCUUCCUUUAGCCAAAUCUAUAAACAUUUCAGAGGGUAACCUGCAGGUGAAUUGCCUACUUAUGGGCAUUGUUCUUUGGGGCCUACUCUUGACAACCCCAUCCUCUUCCAUAUCCAUUCACAAAGACCUUCCAUGUGUUUCUUGAACUUUAGUCUGGGAAACUGAGAAGAGAGACAGAAGGGCCUCGCAGUGGCUUCAAGACAGAUGCAGAGCAUGUUGUGAUCCAAGGCAAUCAAAAUUUAGUUCACUCGAAUUUUCUAAGCAUGGAAAUUCGUUUUUGGGCCUUGGACCACUUAGAAGUAACCCCAGGGCAGCAUUUUGAGGGUCACUCCUGUCCUCUGUUACCACCCUGAUGUCCCCUGGGCCUCCAUCCUACUGCCGGGCCUUCUUGGCUCUCAGUCACCAACUUCUGCAUUUCCUUCCCUGCUUCUGACCUAACAUGACAGAGUAGGCUGCAGUCUGCAUUGCGGGGCUGCCAAGCCUCCUUGCUGCAGUGUAAGGGGAUUGGGAUGUGGGGACAGAGAGCAGUGGGGAGGGUCCUUGGCUGUGGAAACUGAAAGCCCAGCGAACAGAUGAGCUUGCUGUGCAUUGGGCUGGGGAAGGCAGACAGCAAAGAUUGGCACCCUGCAGGGUCAGGGCUGGGAGGGGAGGCCCCUGAGGUUUUUCCCAAGAGCAGUGGGAGAAUGAGUGAUUGAUGUUUUAAAAAGGAUGCUUGGAUGGGUUAGGUUUUCUCCAGUUUUUCCUAAAGCCUUGAAAUCACCGGUAGAUUUUUGUACACACAAGUGCAAGUCUGAGUGUUUUCUAUUACUCUAGAACAUACGUGAAUGAUUAAUGAUACAUGCUCCUUAUUUUACUGUGUUUGAGUAAAGUCCUAUUAAUCCUUUCUCCAUUUUUGCUUGCUGGCAAAAUUAACAUUUACAGGCCUGCUUUGUGCUUGUAAUUGAGAAUGUGUGCAAAAAUAUCAAGCUUGUUUCCUGUGUAGUAUGAAGACAUCUGUGAAUAUUUAUUGAUAUAUCAGCUUGUUCUGGUCUCUCUUCUUAUAUAGCUCUAUUCUUAGAAAUAUAAUUUGAAUGUGAUCUUUGGAAUUUUCCAAAUUGUUGCUGUCUUGUGAAGGUAUUCUCAAACGGAAAAACAUAACUCUGUUGUUUUGAUAUUUCUUACCCUGGAACUGUUGUACUUGACAUCUAUGUUCCUAACCAGUGUAAGUACUUAUAGAAUUGCUCUGUCAAACUAAACAAAGAUAGUUAGUACUUUAGUAUUCUCCCAUGUGCUUGAAGGAAAAAUAAGUAUGUUACUCUUCUGCUGUAGUUGUUUUCACCAAAAAAUAAAAAUAAAUAAAGUUCUGUCUCUUUUGUCUAGGCUAA